GUAGGUGAACCUGCGGAAGGAUCAUUAACGUGGGGCUCCGGCCCCGCCGAGAUAGAACCCUUGCCUUUUCGAGUACCACACGUUUCCUCGGCAGGCCCGCCUGCCAAUGGGGACCCAAACACAAACCUAUUGAUCAACCGUCACAGUCUGAGAAAACAAAACAAAAAUUAAAACUUUCAACAACGGAUCUCUUGGUUCUG
rnacentral:misc_RNA from 1 species